UACGAAGGGGGCUAGCGUUGCUCGGAAUUACUGGGCGUAAAGAGCGCGUAGGCGGAUAGUUUAGUUGGGGGUGAAAGCCCGGGGCUCAACCUCGGAACUGCCUUCAAUACUGGCUAUCUUGAGUACGGGAGAGGUGUGUGGAACUCCGAGUGUAGAGGUGAAAUUCGUAGAUAUUCGGAAGAACACCAGUGGCGAAGGCGACACACUGGCCCGUUACUGACGCUGAGGCACGAAAGCGUGGGGAGCAAACAGG
rnacentral:rRNA from 1 species